rnacentral:lncRNA from 1 species
AAACUGUAAACAGCAAUAAUGUUCAGCAAAGUAAGAUCUACAAAUAAGUCAACAUGACCUAAAUGGUCAAUUGACCCCUUAAGGAGUUAUUGCCCUUUAUUAGUCAAUUUUUUACAAUUUUCAUUAAUUUGGUAAAUUUAUGUAAAUUUACCAAAUAUAGUUCUCUGUUACUAAUGGGCAAAGUUCAUUAUAGAUAUAAUUGUAAGAAGCAAAAUCGUUCAGUAAAGUUAGAACUUCAAACACAUCACCAUCACCAA